rnacentral:rRNA from 1 species
UUCGAAGAGUUUACUUGGAGAAAUUUUUAGUGGCGGACGGGUGAGUAACGCGUGGGUAACCUACCCAUAAAACCGGGACAACCCUUGGAAACGAGGGCUAAUACCGAAUAAUCUUUUGAUGCGGCAUCGUAUUAAAAGGAAAGGUGGCCUCUGAAAAUGCUACCGAUUAUGGAUGGACCCGCGUCUGAUUAGCUAGUUGGUGGGGUAAAGGCCUACCAAGGCGACGAUCAGUAGCCGGCCUGAGAGGGUGAACGGCCACACUGGGACUGAGACACGGCCCAGACUCCUACGGGAGGCAGCAGUGGGGAAUCUUCCGCAAUGGACGAAAGUCUGACGGAGCAACGCCGCGUGUAUGAUGAAGGUCUUCGGAUUGUAAAGUACUGUCUUUGGGGAAGAAUGAUGUAUUUGAAAAUAUUGAGUACAUAUGACGGUACCCAAGGAGGAAGCCCCGGCUAACUACGUGCCAGCAGCCGCGGUAAUACGUAGGGGGCAAGCGUUGUCCGGAAUUAUUGGGCGUAAAGGGCGCGUAGGCGGAUAGUUAAGUCCGGUGUGAAAGAUCAGGGCUCAACCCUGAGAGUGCAUCGGAAACUGGUUAUCUUGAGGACAGGAGAGGAAAGUGGAAUUCCACGUGUAGCGGUGAAAUGCGUAGAUAUGUGGAGGAACACCAGUGGCGAAGGCGACUUUCUGGACUGUAACUGACGCUGAGGCGCGAAAGCGUGGGGAGCAAACAGGAUUAGAUACCCUGGUAGUCCACGCUGUAAACGAUGAGUGCUAGGUGUAGGAGGUAUCGACCCCCCCUGUGCCGCAGUUAACACAAUAAGCACUCCGCCUGG